rnacentral:rRNA from 1 species
GACGAACGCUGGCGGCGUGCUUAACACAUGCAAGUCGAACGGAAAGGCCCCUUUUGGGGUACUCGAGUGGCGAACGGGUGAGUAACACGUGAGUAACCUGCCCUUGACUUCGGGAUAACUUCAGGAAACUGGGGCUAAUACCGGCUAGGAAUCCUUGCUGCAUGGUGGGGGUUGGAAAGCUUCGGCGGUUUUGGAUGGACUCGCGGCUUAUCAGCUUGUUGGUGGGGUAGUGGCUUACCAAGGCUUUGACGGGUAGCCGGCCUGAGAGGGCGACCGGCCACAUUGGGACUGAGAUACGGCCCAGACUCCUACGGGAGGCAGCAGUGGGGAAUAUUGCACAAUGGGCGGAAGCCUGAUGCAGCAACGCCGCGUGCGGGAUGACGGCCUUCGGGUUGUAAACCGCUUUCAGCAGGGGCGAAGCUUGUGGUGACGGUACCUGCAGAAGAAGCACCGGCUAACUACGUG